UACGUAGGGUGCGAGCGUUGUCCAGAAUUAUUGGGCGUAAAGAGCUUGUAGGCGGUUUGUCGCGUCUGCUGUGAAAAUCCGGGGCUCAACCCCGGACUUGCAGUGGGUACGGGCAGACUAGAGUGUGGUAGGGGAGACUGGAAUUCCUGGUGUAGCGGUGAAAUGCGCAGAUAUCAGGAGGAACACCGAUGGCGAAGGCAGGUCUCUGGGCCACUACUG
rnacentral:rRNA from 1 species